GCAUAAUCAAUAGUCUUUUAAUUGAAGGCUCGUAUGAAUGGCUGGACGAGAAAUAAUCUGUUUUCUUAAUUCAAAUUUGAAAUUAACUUUUAAGUGAAAAGGCUUAAAUUGCUCAAGAAGACGAUAAGACCCUAUAAAUCUUUAUAAUAUAUUUUGUUGGGGCGAUGUGAAUAGAAAAGAAUCUGUUCAAAGAUUUUACAAACUAUAAUUGAAUUUAAUUUAUUUGAUCCUUAUUAAAGAUUAUAAGAUUAAGUUACUUUAGGGAUAACAGCGAGNUCNUAUCNAAAAAAAAGNUUGCNACCUCG
rnacentral:rRNA from 1 species